AUUCCUGGAGAUCUUACUCUUAAGACAUGUGGCAGUACAGCCAGCAUGAAGGUUAAACAUGUGAAAAAGUCCACCACUCCAGGACUGAUGGGCUGUGACAACAUUCACAGGUUACCCUUCACUAAAGGUCACUUUCCCAAGAUGGCUGAAUGUGCACAUUUCCAUUAUGAGAAUGUUGAGUUCGGCAGCAUACAG